UGAAAUAAUAUUUCUUUUGUAAAAAAACUCAAAGAACAAGAUUUUUCAAAUGAAGUAUUCUCGUUUAAUCUUGCACGAAGAUUUCGAUGCUUUUCGACAUUUCUUGAGAAUUGACGCUCCUUGUUCUCUCCAAGUUACCUUCUUUCUCAAUCCAAAUAUAUUGUCGGUUGUCAUCCUUAAUCAUAUACUCGUCUCUCUAAUACAACAAAUAGUCCUCUCGAGCAUAAUGUUCAACACACGUCCCCUGAUGGUGUCGCUCACCUAGAUCUCACGAGAUUUGUUUACAAAGUGAUAUUCCACUGUUUUAUGGAGGAUGUUAAGAUGUAUACUUUAUUUAUUUGACCUGUUAAGGGGUAGUUAAGUCUUUUCCGUUGUGAUAUAUGUAUACACACACAUCCUUUACUCAUCUUGUAAGGUUGAUCAGUGGUAUAGACAACUUAACAACUAUGGCUUUGAAGCACAUAUUGUGACACAGAAAUCGGACACGACAAGAACGCUGACAUGUACUAUUGUCAAAAAUAGAGGAGAUAAAGACAAUUGAAAGAAGCUCCCAAUAUUGUGCAAAUCUCUCUCUAUUUAUUUGUAAGAUGUACAAUUUGACACUUUCAGAAAUUUGUAAAUAUAGAUAGAUGUACUCAUUUUUUA